rnacentral:rRNA from 1 species
CCUACGGGAGGCAGCAGUGAGGAAUAUUGGUCAAUGGCCGUAAGGCUGAACCAGCCAAGCCGCGUGAAGGAUGACGGUGCCAAGCAUUGUAAACUUCUUUUGUGCAGGGAUAAAAUCAGGCACGAGAGAUUGUCUGAGGGUACCUGAAGAAAAAGCAUCGGCUAACUCCGUGCCAGCAGCCGCGGUAAUACGGAGGAUGCGAGCGUUAUCCGGAUUUAUUGGGUUUAAAGGGAGCGUAGGCGGACUGUUAAGUCGGCGGUAAAAGCCCGGGGCUCAACCCCGGCGAGCCGUGGCAACGGGCUGUCUUGAGUGGUCGAAAGGUAUGCGGAAUGCGUAGUGGAGCGGUGAAAUGCUUAGAUAUUGCGCAGAACUCCGAUUGCGAAGGCAGCAUACCGGCG